AUGUCCCGUUCCACAAGCUUCAAUAAAACAAAUGUUACUGCUUUUAAUAACAACCUGCAGACAGUUCUUGCCUGCUACAUUUUUGAAGCAAAGGACAUUUGGAACGUGGAUGAAAAAGGUACCACGACAGUCCAAGUGCUUGAUAAAAUAAUCGCCACCAAGGGGAAGCGCCAGGUCGAUGCAGUGACCUCUGGGGAGAGGGGGACAUUGGUCACCAUUGCCCUUGCAGUAAAUGCACAAGGCAAUUGCAUUCCCCCGUACUUCAUCUUUCCCAGGAAGGAAGACCACUUUGUGAGAAAUGGUCCCAUUGGCUCUGUUGGUUCUGCAAAUAGCUCAGGCUGGAUGCAGGAUACAGACUUUCUGGCCUUUCUCCAGACACACACCCGUGUGACCCUGGAGUCGAAGGUGCUUCUCCUCCCCGACAAUCAUUGGUCACACCUUUCUGUGGCAGCAAUUGACUUUUGUCGGUCAAACGGCAUAGUCCUACUAUUGUUCCCACCCCACUGCUCACAUCGUCUCCAGCCAUUGACAGAAACGUGCCUACAGUCCACUGAAGCGAUAUAUAAACACGGCAGCAGAUCACUGGAUGAGAACACACCCUGGAAAAACUUUGACCAUCUAUGAUGUUCCAAGCCUAGCUCUGCCACGAGCAGCGACACCCAGAAAUAUAAUGUCUGGCUUUGUGUGCACUGGCAUCUGCCCCUUUAACCCAGAUACUUUUGAGGAGCGAGACUUUUCACCUGUCUACUUCACCGACCACCCUUUUCCUUCAUUGGUACCAUGUGGUCCCACACCACAUUCCAACAAACACCCACUCAGCCAGAGCCUGUUUGAGGGAGGGCUGCUGCCAGAGUAUCCUGGUGGUUCAACCAGGGACGUCUGUUUAGAGCCAUCCCUAUCCACACAGCUGUCUGUUCAC
ensembl:lncRNA